rnacentral:rRNA from 1 species
CCUACGGGUGGCUGCAGUCGAGAAUCAUUCACAAUGGGGGAAACCCUGAUGGUGCGACGCCGCGUGGGGGAAUGAAGGUCUUCGGAUUGUAAACCCCUGUCAUGUGGGAGCAAAUUAAAAAGAUAGUACCACAAGAGGAAGAGACGGCUAACUCUGUGCCAGCAGCCGCGGUAAUACAGAGGUCUCAAGCGUUGUUCGGAAUCAUUGGACGUAAAGAGUUCGUAGGUGGCAUAUUAAGUCUGGUGUUAAAUGCAGAAGCUCAACUUCUGUUCGGCACUGGAUACUGGUAAGCUUGAAUGCGGUAGAGGUAAAGGGAAUUCCUGGUGUAGCGGUGAAAUGCGUAGAUAUCAGGAGGAACAUCGGUGGCGUAAGCGCUUUACUGGGCCGUAAUUGACACUGAGGAACGAAAGCCGGGGUAGCAAAUGGGAUUAGAUACCCGAGUAGUC